CCUCUAUAUAAAAACCAGGAUUCCACCGUCCUCUUUAACAAAAUGCAGCCUUAACUCUCACCUCUCUUCCGCCCCCAUUUGUGUCUUCUCCAAGAGUUAGGGCUACCCAUUUCAUCAAAAGAAAUUUUCCCUUCUAAAAUUGUUCCUGUGUGUGUACAUAUACAUAUUGGUAAGUUCAUGAAUUCGUUUGUGUGAUGUAUAGACGCGUAGACUCUGGUUUUUCCGCAAAUCUCUAGUGAAUCGCACGAGCCCCCGGGCAUCUCUGAAUGAAUAUAAGUUUUGACGAAGAAUGCCCCAAAGCUUGUGCUACAACGCAAGCCGUCUGUGUUGCAGUUUAGCCUCUGUACCUCACUUUCCCUUGGCUAUUUCUGUGUCAAAUCCGACGGCAACAUAUAGUACUACAGCAACCAAAAAAAAAUAUCAUCUUUUUUAUAUUCACAGUUUUUCGUUUUUGCACUUUAUAGUUUCUUUUUACGUGAUCCAGGUUUUUCCCCAUUGCAUAAUCCCAAAAUGUUCGUCUUAUUGAUAAGUUGUGUUUGAUUGAGCAAUUGUUGAAGCAUAAUAAAAUUAGAUGGUUGAGUUUCUUGAUAAGAGCUGAUUUUAGCAGAAUUCUAAAGAGUUUUGAUUCAUUUUUGGCAAUGACGAUUAGUUUACAGCUUUAAACGCCAGUUCUGCUUCAGAAAAUUCUUGAUUGAUAGAGCUGUUGUAUAGUCUGAGCCUCUACACCCUUGAUGUGAGCCUCUAUACCCUUGAUGUGAUUCCCAUUGCUUAGAUUUAGUUUUCAGUUUUAAUUCUGAGAACCAUCAUAUGAGUGCGCCUCUAUUUCUGUAUGUACAUGGGUACGUUGUUUUUGAAAACGCGAGAAUAGAUGUCUACGACGAGUUAUCCAUUUUGGUUCAUCUCCAAUCUCUCUUAUUCCCCUAUUCUAAACUCCUCCCGAUCACAUUAUCAGAAUAGAAUGAUUGAUUGUUGGUAGAGAGGGGGUUUUGGACACGAGACAGUGGAGAUCAGGGAGAUAAGAUUUGGCUCUCAUUAUGACUUAAAUUUAGCCUCAAGUUCCCUAUUUUGGGGGAGAACUUACUUGAUUUUUACGAGAUUUAAGCAUCAAAUAUUGAACUUAUUGAGACAUUAAGCAUAUGGUUUUUAGUUAAUGCUUGAUUUGAACAGGCUUUGGAUUGUAUUUUCUGUAUGACAAUCUUGUGUCAGAUUUGUGGUUGUAAUAUCUUUUGGCUGCCAGAGCCAGUGAUGAUAUAAUCCAUGUUGUUUGAGGUGUUGCGGAUCCAAGACCCUGUCUUCACAGGGAGAACCUACUUGGUGAAGCUACAUUCCACCGGAUAUUACUGGAUUACACUGAGGCAACAGGCUCAAUAUCUGUUUCCUUUCAACAUCAAAUGCUUAUGUAUUUCUGUUGCUGUGAUUUUUAAUGGACAAAACAUGUUUGAAAUUGCAAUACUAAUUUGGUUAGUCACUUGGAGUCAAAGAGUACUGUUUUGCAUGUGUGGAAAGUACGUGAACCACCUCUGUUCUGUAACAUGUUUUAAUUACGUUAACUUGCUGAUAACAUUUUUAAGAAAUGAGUUUAACUAUACUCUACACUUCUAAAUAAUUUGUGGGUGUAGGGCCUGAAAAAACUCGUAGAUUUUGUGUUGUUUAUCAGCUUCUUCUCUUGCUAAUGCCACGAGGAUGGAGUUAAAUCACAACACAACAUUGCAUUGGUUUUAAGGGGUCGUAGUUAUAUUUUGUUGUAAACGGCUACAGUUUAUGUUAGAAAAUAGGUCUCGUGUGUGUUGUUUUAUUUAUUUGGGAACUCAUUUUUUUGUUGUUGAUGUUUUAGUCAUUUGUGAACUCUUGAACGUUGGUGUAAUUUCCCGGCCCUAUUUAUUGGAGUGCACAUUGUGCAGCCAGGCCCUGGAAUGUUGUACUGUGUCUGAGGUUUGUGUACAGUUCCUAUACACUGAUGGCUGGUCUCUAGGAUGAGUUACAACAGUAGUUUUUCCUUGCUUUGCUAAUUGCUCUAUGUCGGUGACAAGAUCAUGCUUUCUAACUUUCUGAUGAUUCCGAUGAAUGUGGUUAGCUGCCUUGCUUUUAUAUAUUGCUUUGCUGCCUAUUUACUUUGCAAGACAAGUUGUUGCCGGUUCUAAGUACUAAUGAGGUCGAGGGUAGGGAGAAUAAGAGAUCUGGAGGAAAAUGGCAAGAUGACAAGGAAUUCGAAUGCAAAACUUGACAAUGCCAACUGCAACAGAAAGGGUAGUGGGACUAACAAGAGUAUGAGUAUAUGUAACCUGUGACUCAGAUCCAUAUUCAGAGUUUGGAUGUUUGUUGAAUCUUACUGCAUGGUGCGAGAUAAUUUUGAACAAACAUUAUCACAUCCAUUUCUGGCGACCUUAAUUUUGAUGCGAAAGGAAAGCUGGAUUCCUAUAAAGAGGAUGUCGCUGGUGAAGUGGUUCAGAAAAGGUUGGAUGAUCACGCGCGAGAAGGUAAUAUCUUUCAACAUGCUGUGGCAGAUUAAGGUGCAAGCGAUUUCGAGUUUAUGUCAAGUGUCAAGGUUAUGUAAAUGCAAAAUGAUUUCGAGGGACAGAGUUGUCUACAAGGUGCUUUUGUCACUGUGACGAUGAUGUUUGGAGAGUGAUUUUGAGUCCUAUCAAUCAUUUUAUGUACUAUCUGCUGAUAUACAACUUUGUGGGGGAAAAAAAGUCGGUAUUUACAGCCUUAAACAUUGGGUUAGGCUUGUCCAUGGACCAAAUUCUGUUGCGGCUAUAUUUGAUCCGAAUCUGAUUUCAGUUCAAAAUAGGAGUAAUCAGGAUUUGACUUCUGCAUAUCCGUUUGAAGGCAAAUCUGGAACCAAGUUUUGAAAAAUCCAUAUAACAAGGGAGGGAUUUUUCCAAUAUAAUAUUUGCUCCCCAAACAAAUUUCAACCCUCCAUUCUUAAAAAUCCAAUGGUCUAAUUUUAUCCCUCUCACAAACUAACUUUUGGAUGGCAUUUUCGUAAAUAGUGUGUCAUACUGGGGCUAAGAACAAAGAUGGCAUUUCAGUAAAUAUCAAUUUGAUUUAGGGCAAUUCUAUAAAAGUGGCAAAUGGCAUUUUGGUAAAAACUCUGAUUUUGUUUUCAAAAUUUGAAAAACACGUAAAUGUUCCUAAAAUUGCUUUUACUUUCCCCUUUCUACCUUAUCUCUCUCUCUCUCACCGAGGAACAACGUUCAUGUAGAAGGUCUCCGGUCUGAACGAACGAACGAGGAGCUCACCGUGGUGGAGCGCAACCUCCUCUCCGUCGCCGACAAGAAUAUCAUGGGCGCCCGCCGCGCCUCCUGGCGCAUCAUUUCCUCCAUUGACCAGAAGGAGGAGUUCUGCGGCAACGCCGUCCAUGUUGCCACCUCUAGCUCUCCUCGAUCUAUGAGCUGCUCGAUUCCAAGCUCAUCCCGUUCGCCACCUCCGGAGACUCCGGAAAUCACUCUUGUUUUCUUCUCUUAGCAAGGACAAUGGGAAUUUGAAUCCUCACGCUUUAGGAAAUGGAGAAAGAAAUGGUGUGGACACCAUUGAAUAGGAGAAUUAAAUGAGGCGUCCGCGUUUAGCGGGGAAGAUGAGAUGCUGAUGUUCCGAUCUUUGCAACUUCAGGUAGUAUUUUUGGGCUUCUUUUCCACAUUUACUUAUUCGUAUCAUUUCUCUGUUCAUCUUUUAUAUCUCUUGAUCAUGCAUAAAAUGGUUUUUGCUUAGUCAAUUGUGAUACUUUAUUUAGUUUGUUAAAAAGAAAGGAUGCUAUUUUUCUCCAUUGGUGUUGACAUGUUGCUUACAUGAGAUUGGGUGACCCUUUUGUGUUUGGAUGUUAUCAUCUGUGAAAUAAAGAACAAGGAUUAAACACACACAAAAAAAAAGUGAAUUGCGAUCUCUACUUUUAAGAGAGAUCGCCCCUCGCUCUUCUAUUUCAAUUUCGAGUAAGUUUCUCCUCCAUUUUCUCAAGUUCCAACAGCGAGAAUACAACCCAUGGCCUUUUUUGUAGGGUCUUGGUAUUUGUGAAAAUUUAUUUGGUAAAAAGAAAUGAGUCGAAAUCCCUUGGGCAAAUAUGAAUUUUGUUAGUACUUUUGUUGGCUAUUUUUUCAUUUCUUUUUCAGAUCUUUUUGUCCCCUCCAAGAGUUGAUUCUUUUGUGCAUUUGUGGCCUUCUUGAAGUUGCAUUAGACAUAAACAGUUCUAAGGGAGAGAAUGCGUAGUAUAUAUCCAAAAGAAAAUUCCUUUUCUUUCAAUCUUGACUCUCCAAUUCUACACAUCCAAGGGUCCAAAAUGUCCCUCUCACAAAUUACCUUUUGAAUGGCAGUUUGGUAAAUAAUCUGUAUUUUUUAAAUGUCAAAAGAAGGAAGUGGUUAAGGGCUGAGAUUGAAACCAGGAGGCUUCAUGGUUGAGGUUUCGAAGCCCUAGCUAUAGUUUUUGUGAGGUUUGAAUUCUUCUCCUUAUUUUUUCUGUCUCUUUUUUCAGUUAAAGGAGUUUUAUCAUUCACAUCCAGCAUGGCAUGAUCUUUUUUUUAUCAGAAAUUGGUGGUUAACAGGGUGUUUGGUGAACCAUCAAUCCCGCCAAAAGUCGACCACUUCUGUUGCUCUCAGAGGAAAUCGUUGUGGCCAAACCCAUGCAUUUCAGGAGAAUCUAACAGGUAUAACUUUCCUAUUAAUCAGAUGAUUUUGUUUUACAUCUAAUGGCUCAUUUGCUAUUCCAUUAUUGUAGACUUUACAUUGCUACUUUUGAAUCAUUGGGUAUCAGCUUGAUUUCCUUGCCAUGGCCCGUUAAUGUACAGAAACACUUUCGCAAUUUUUGUAUAGUGAUUUGUGCUAUACUUUGUAGCAAUUUUCAUGUUCGGAUUUGAAAAUAAAAAAUCAUCAUUGGGUACACGUUAGACAAUGCAGACCAGAAUGGUGGUUAUGCACUGCACAUUCUUCUAAACAAAAAUCAUCAAGUUUCUUUAAAAUGUUGAUAAUAGCGGCCAUUAUACGAGCUAAUUUUUGUUUGUCCCUAUGAAAUGUACUGCAUAAGACCUUAAGCAAAGAGGAAGAAACGGCUUAAGAAAGACACAACUUCGAAGAUAAAGUCAUUGGUCGAGGAGGUAAAGUGAGGUUGCACUGGCCUUUAUGUCCAUGUUCUUCUGGUUUGUUCUUUUGCUAUGGGAAUAUUGACCUAGCAGAUCUUUGCCACAUAUUGUAUAUAGUUAGUCUUACCUCUUAAGAAAGGUUUCCUCUCUUGAGCAAUUUUGUGACUUUGUGGAGGUUUUUUAUGUGGGAGGAAGUGCAUAGGUGGGGUUUUUCUUUGUGUUCUUUCUCUCCUUUAGAUGGCAGUCUACAGCUAUCGCAAUUAUCUAAGAUUCUGAAUUGUUAGAGUGCCUAUUUGUUCUGUCUAUUAGCACUAGCAUAGAUUACUAUGGUUUCGGUUUUUAAUACAAAAGUUUUUUAUUUGGACAUGUAUGUAGUCGCUCUUGAAACAAGAUUUCUAAAUAGUUAACCAUCCAUUGUUAUUCAUUUAUAGCACGUCUAAGCUCCACCAAGUAAUACUUCACAAAACUUCAACCUUUUGUAUGUUCGAAGUGCUUGACAAAAUGUAGAGCAUUCUAUGCUUUAGUUGUAGUGGAUUCAAAAGGGGGUGUUGUAUGAUCUCUUUAGUCCAUUCAGGGAGGGCCGACGAGAAAUCCAACACUGUGGUCCUUUUUAAUAAAAAAUUCAACAUUCUUUUAAAUUUAAUUGGCACGCCCAUAUGCGUCGUCAACAUGGUGCAUGUCUCCGUAGUGUCCAACACGUGACAUUUGUUAGUUUAGCAUUUUUUUUUGUUAACAUGGAAAGCAUACCUAUGCUAAGACUUGAUCAUUCGGACCGUUACAGAUUGUAUGAUUUUUCUAUAAAACGCACGAGCAUUAGCCUCAAAAGUAUAAUGGCCCCAUUGGCUUUCUAUAAUACACAUCAAAUACACAAGAUUGAUUUGCAUUCUUUGACUUUGGCAAUUCUUCGAUGAAGUAAAGUAUAAAAAAAAAAUCAUAUUUUGCCUCGCAUUUUAAGCUGGUAACCCUUCUUACUGACAUAAGUAUGAUUUUUAUUUUAUUUUUUCAGUUGUUAAUGAUUUUGGAGAUGGAGCUAUUAGGUCCUUUGUUAGACAGAUGAGGUCAAUAGUAAAAUAGAGUAGUUGGUUUAGAUUAGUACGAGGCAUAGCACAUACAAUUGUACAGUUUAUUUGAUUUGUAUUCCCUAACUUAAAAAAAAAUUUGCUUGAUUGAAUUGGAAUUCAAUGCACUAAAUUUUGAUGAUCCUAUGUAGAAUUUUUGAGAAUUAAAUGAGCCAGGGUUGUUGGUCAA